GUGAGGAAUAUUGGACAAUGGAGGAAACUCUGAUCCAGCCAUGCCGCGUGAGUGAUGAAGGCCUUCGGGUUGUAAAGCUCUUUCGGGUGUGAAAAUGAUGAUGGUAACACCAGAAGAAGCCCCGGCUAACUCCGUGCCAGCAGCCGCGGUAAUACGGAGGGGGCGAGCGUUGUUCGGAAUCACUGGGCGUAAAGCGUGCGUAGGCGGUUAUACAAGUCAGGAGUGAAAUCCCAGGGCUCAACCUUGGAAUUGCUUUUGAGACUGUAUGACUAGAGAUCUAGAGAGGUUGGGGGAAUUCCGAGUGUAGAGGUGAAAUUCGCAGAUAUUCGGAGGAACACCAGUGGCGUAGGCGCCCAACUGACUAGAUACUGACGCUGAGGCACGAAAGCGUGGGGAGCAAACAGGAUUAGAAACCCGAGUAGUCC
rnacentral:rRNA from 1 species